rnacentral:rRNA from 1 species
GACGAACGCUGGCGGCUGCCUAAUACAUGCAAGUCGAACGAGUUCCCGUUGAUUGAUUUGCUUGCUUUGAUUUCAACAUUGGAACGAGUGGCGAACUGGUGAGUAACACGUGGAAAACCUGCCCACAAGCCCGGGAUAACACUUGUAAACCUGUGCUAAUACCGUAUAACAACAAAAACCGCAUGGUUUUUGUUUGAAAGGUGGCUUCGGCUAUCACUUCUGGAUGGUUCCGCGGCACAUUAGCUUGUUGGUGGGGUAACGGCUCACCCAGGCGAUGAUGCGUAUCCGACCUGACAGGGUAAUCGGCCACAUUGGGACUGAUACACGGCCCACACUCCUACGGGAGGCACCGGUAGGGAAUCUUCCACAUUGGACGCAAGUCUGAUGGAUCAAUGCCGCGUGAGUGAAGAAGGGUUUCGGCUCGUAAAACUCUGUCGUUGAAGAAGAACGGGUGUCACAGUAACUGUAGACAUCGUGACGGUAUUCAACCAGAAAGCCACGGCUAACUACGUGCCAUCAGCCGCGGUAAUACGUAUGUGGCAAGCGUUGUCCGGA